GGACUACACGGGUAUCUAAUCCCGUUUGCUCCCCUAGCUUUCGCGCCUCAGCGUCAGUAAAGAUCCAGUGCGCCGCUUUCGCCGCCGGCGUUCCUUCUGAUAUCAACGCAUUUCACCGCUCCACCAGAAGUUCCGCGCACCCCUACCUUCCUCUAGCCCGCCGGUAUCGAAGGCACUUCCACGGUUAAGCCGUGGGAUUUCACCCCCGACCUUGCAGGCCGCCUACGCGCCCUUUAAGCCCAGUGAUUCCGAACAACGUUCGCACGGUUCGUCUUACCGCGGCUGCUGGCAC
rnacentral:rRNA from 1 species